ensembl:lncRNA
AUGUUGUGGAAAAACAGAGGAUUUGUGACAGUAACGUCUCCUGACAGGCGUAUUAGGCUGCAGAAAGAGCAUCGGGCCCAAGGCUGUGGGCAUAUGGUGCUGCCUUCUGCUGGCAUCGCUCUAGAACAAGUUGCAACACUGUGGCAGGGUCACGACGGGCUCAGAUUCUCUCAUACUUGGACUCAGUUCUCCCAAACAAACGGACAUCAACUGAAAGUUUCCCCUCAGGGUAAGAUCGAAAAACACAGCUUCUCUUGUACUUCUGUCAACACUUUCAUCUUUUUGGCAGAUGCACUCUUUGAAAAUGAGAUAAAAAACUAGAGUG